GUCAAUGUGGCAUAGUGGUUUGAGUGUUGGACUACGACUCUGAAGACCAGAGUUUGAUUCCCUACUUGGUA